GGAUUAGAUACCCUGGUAGUCCACACCGUAAACGAUGUCUACUAGCUGUUUGUUCGAUUUAAGAGUGAGUAGCGCAGCUAACGCGAUAAGUAGACCGCCUGGGGAGUACGGCCGCAAGGUUAAAACUCAAAUGAAUUGACGGGGGCCCGCACAAGCGGUGGAGCAUGUGGUUUAAUUCGAUGCAACGCGAAGAACCUUACCAGGACUUGACAUCCUUGAAACUUUCCAGAGAUGGAUUGGUGCCUUCGGGAAUCAAGAGACAGGUGCUGCAUGGCUGUCGUCAGCUCGUGUUG
rnacentral:rRNA from 1 species